UGGGGUGUGGUUCAGUGGUAGAGUGCUUGCUGGCAUAUGUGAGGCACUGAGUUCGAUUCUCAGCACCACAU
rnacentral:tRNA from 1 species